CAAAUAUCUGCCCUAUCACUUUCGAUGGUAGGAUAGUGGCUACCAUGGUUGUUUACGGGUAACGGGAAUAAGGGUUCGAUUCCGGAGAGGGAGCCUGAGAAACGGUUACCACAUCCAAGGAAGGCAGCAGGCGCGCAAAUUACCCAAUCCCAAUUCGGGGAGGUAGUGCACAAUAAAAUACCAAUAUAGGGCUCUUUUGGGUCUUAUACUUGGCAAUGAGUCCAAUUUACAAUCACUUAACCGAGGAACAAUUGGAGGGCAAGUCUGGUGCCAGCAGCCGCGGUAAUUCCAGCUCCAAUAGCGUAUAUUACAAGUUGUUGCAGUUAAAAAGCUCGUAGUUGAA
rnacentral:rRNA from 1 species